rnacentral:rRNA from 1 species
CUACGGGAGGCAGCAGUGGGGAAUAUUGCACAAUGGGCGCAAGCCUGAUGCAGCGACGCCGCGUGAGGGAUGACGGCCUUCGGGUUGUAAACCUCUUUCAGUAGGGAAGAAGCGAAAGUGACGGUACCUGCAGAAGAAGCGCCGGCUAACUACGUGCCAGCAGCCGCGGUAAU